UACGUAGGUGGCGAGCGUUGUCCGGAUUUACUGGGCGUAAAGAGCGCGCAGGCGGUCGUUCAAGUCGCGUGUGAAAGCCCCCGGCUCAACUGGGGAGGGUCACGCGAUACUGAUCGACUCGAAGGCAGGAGAGGGAAGUGGAAUUCCCGGUGUAGUGGUGAAAUGCGUAGAUAUCCGGAGGAACACCAGUGGCGAAGGCGACUUUCUGGCCUGUUCUUGACGCUGAGGCGCGAAAGCUAGGGGAGCAAACGGG
rnacentral:rRNA from 1 species